CUCCACCACAACCUAUAGCAUCCUCCCUAACUCCACCGCAACCUCCAUUAUCUGCCCAUGCCCCAUCACAACCUCUAGGAUCUAGGCAGACUCCAUCAGAAUCAUCCAUCCCACAUCUAUCUCAGGAUUUUCCAUCGACAGCCUCGUCUACAUCACGCCAUUACUGGAUAGUUAAUGUGAUAGGUAUGCACAAAAUAUUUAAAUUGCGUGUAAUUAUUAUAUACUUGCAUUAAUUAUUAAAUUAGGUAUAUAUAUUUUGAUUGACAGAUGAACAGGGAGUUAUAAAAUAAGAAAAACUACGGGUUAAGGAUGUUGGCUACUUGCACAUGGAAGGCGUGUCAUGUUAGAGUUUAAUGACACACUCCAACCCAUAGGAGAUGUAGCAGGACUAUUUGGAGGGAUUUUAGGGGAGCUAGCUUCUGAUUUUGUCACUUUUCCUGUCAAUUGCGAAAGCUGGCAUAAAGUUCCCAACGCAUAUAAAGAUGAAAUUUACAAAAAUAGAGUCAUGGAAAAAUCUAAUGUUGACGAAGGAUAUGUGAAGAAUUUCAUUUGAGAAAUAUCGGAAAAAAAUGGAAGGAUAAUAGAUGCAAGUUAUACCACGAGUACUAUGAUCCCACUAUUGGUCGAGAGGCAAAUCUUGUAAAACAUCCACCAGGAAUCUCACAAGACCAGUGGGCAAGUUUCAUUGAUUAUCAUGCACGCGAAAAAACUAAGGAGAUGUGUCUACAAAAUAGUGAAAAUCGAUCCAAAUUGACAAUCCCACACACUGGAGGAUCAAAGAGUUUGGCAAGAAAAAAAAUGAGAUGGAAAUUGAGAGUGGUCAGCCAGUGAGUAGGGGUUUAUUAUACAUCGCGACACAUAAGAAGAAAAACAGAUCUUUUGUGAAUGAAGGAGCACGAACUAUAAGU